rnacentral:rRNA from 1 species
GACGAACGCUGGCGGCGUGCUUAACACAUGCCAGUCGAACGGAAAGGCCUGCUUUCCCUUGUGGAUUGCGGGUACUCGAGUGGCGAACGGGUGAGUAACACGUGAGUGAUCUGCCCCCAACUUGGGUAUAAGCCUGGGAAACUGGGUCUAAUUCCCGAUAGGACUGCAGGGUGGUGCCUGUGGUGGAAAACGAUUUUCCAGUGGUUGGGGAUGAGCUCGCGGCCUAUCAGCUUGUUGGUGGGGUAAUGGCCUACCAAGGCGGCGACGGGUAGCCGGCCUGGGAGGGGGGACGGCCACAUUGGGACUGAGAUACGGCCCAGACUCCUACGGGAGGCAGCAGUGGGGAAUAUUGCACAAUGGGCGGAAGCCUGAUGCAGCGACGCCGCGUGGGGGAUGACGGCCUUCGGGUUGUAAACUCCUUUCGACCGCGAGGAAGCCACCUGGUUGGAAGGGUGGUGACGGUAGUGGUAGAAGAAGCACCGGCUAACUACGUG